AGUCUCAAAGCAGCAUCGGUUGAUGUGGCUUUUGGAUGGUGGGGGCUUUCUUUUUGCGGGCUUUCGAAUGUGAAGUCGGCUCCCCUGAAAUGCAUUAGCAGUAUCUAAAGGCGAUUACCGCAGGCAUGAUAAUUAUCUGUGCCUCUUGGGUAUGCCUCAUAUGACACCGCUACUAACCUUCUAGUAUGACCAA
rnacentral:misc_RNA from 1 species